GAUGAACGCUGGCGGCGUGCUUAACACAUGCCAGUCGAACGGGAAACCUUUUAUUGAAGCUUCGGCAGAUUUAGUUGGUUUCUAGUGGCGGACGGGUGAGUAACGCGUGGGUAACCUGCCUUAUACAGGGGGAUAACAACCAGAAAUGGUUGCUAAUACCGCAUAAGCGCACAGGACCGCAUGGUCCGGUGUGAAAAACUCCGGUGGUAUAAGAUGGACCCGCGUUGGAUUAGCUAGUUGGCAGGGUAACGGCCUACCAAGGCGACGAUCCAUAGCCGGCCUGAGAGGGUGAACGGCCACAUUGGGACUGAGACACGGCCCAGACUCCUACGGGAGGCAGCAGUGGGGAAUAUUGCACAAUGGGGGAAACCCUGAUGCAGCGACGCCGCGUGAAGGAAGAAGUAUCUCGGUAUGUAAACUUCUAUCAGCAGGGAAGAUAGUGACGGUACCUGACUAAGAAGCCCCGGCUAACUACG
rnacentral:rRNA from 1 species